rfam:Camelus ferus unplaced genomic scaffold scaffold602, whole genome shotgun sequence.
GAGGGUAUAGCUCAGUGGUAGAGCACGUGCUUAGCAUGCACGAGGUCCUGGGUUCAAUCCCCAGUCCCUCCA